GACAUCUGCCCUCUGCCCCUGACCUGGGCGUUCCCAGCGCCGCGCUUUCUGCGGGGCUUUCGACGAGCCCUGGGCACCGGACUGGGCUUCGCCGGGGGCGGUGAGGCGCUGCGCUACCCCCGAGGAGCCGCGCUGGGAGAAAUACAGAUGCAAAAGCAGGACGUGGGUAAAUGAGAGAAGAUAAGGUAUUGCUCCUGCAAGCAGAACAUCCUGUCUUCAAAAUGGCCUCCACUUCAUAUGAAUCAGCUCCAAGAGAGGGGCACUGACCUCAUCUCACCAGGAAUAUCAAACAUCUCCACAGCUUUGAUGAACCUUUUGAUGAGAGUGGAAAAAGGAGAAAUGUACACAUCAGCUGUGUAAUCCUGUGCUGGAUGGGUCUGGAUGCAUGCUAAGGUUUGUGUUUAAAAGCAAAACCGAUACACAUCUCCUUUGGUAUGCAAGCACAGAAAAGCACCCUUUGUUUUCGUGUGGUUUUGUGGGGGGGGUUUUCUGGAGGCUUCAAUAGUAUUUGGAUGGGGUCCACAGAAAAAUCUGCUAAUUUUGUAGUAGACGUAGAAUAUAUCAUCUUUGCCAUUAUCAUCACUUUCCAGAUAAAAUCAAGAUCAGGAUAUUAGUGGGCUUGUUGCUCCACAACAUGGAUUAAAUAAUUGUUUCUGCCCAACAAACUCAUAUUGACCUUUGAAUCCUGAUUUUUGAAUCAGAAUUUUCUAUCUUUACGCUAUUUGUGGCAACAUACUGGAUUUUUAUUAUCAUUUUUACAAAUACGUGUCCCCCUCAUUCCUCGAGCCAUAGCAAUGGGGCACCCUGGUAAAAAACUAGAUCUGCUGUGACACUGAUAGAGUGAACAGAGACAAGUUUUCAAGCAUCAUUCUGCCACAGCUCUUUGUGGACAAGGAACUAGCAAAAAAAAAAAAAUCCUGAGAGCAAGACAAAGCAAAGAGGGCAACCUGCAUGACCCCCAGGGGAUCUUCACAGAUGUGAAGAUCAGAAUCACUGAUUGUGCAGAUGAACUCGAGAAACCAAGUCCUUGGGUAAGCUCAGUUAUCCUUUACAACCUGACUGUUAACAGCUAUAUGUUUACCUGUCCUUGAGAAAAGAGCCUCUAUUGUGGCUUAGCAAACACAGAGGAAUUCCUGGUGUCCUCAGGAAAGUCUGGGACAAAAGUUAAACUGAUAGUUCCAAAUACACUAUUUGUGCUUAAUCAUUUGACUGAGUUUAAACUGGAAAUCCUGUUCUGUGUCCAGUGCUGUAACAGCAGAAAACUGCAUGUCUUUUUCAUUUCUGUUCUCUUAAUCCAAUUGUACUGCAUAUUUUCUGUUCUGUUGCAAAGCUUUAGGCACUGCUGGUGCUGUUCCCCCCAGGCAGAAUCACCCUGCAGGAGAUGCCAAUGCCUGGUGUUAAGGGGUUUGUGUGUGUGUUGAGGCCAGGUGAAGGACAACUGUCUCCCCUGAUGCUACCUUAGAGGAUCCUGGACAAAGCAACACAGAGAGAUUCCACAGAGGGAAAGCCAGCACCUACAAUGCUUGUGAAGGGAGUGGGUAAAACCACAGACCAUGGAAUUUGGGCUUUCUGAUACAGAUGGAAUCCAGAUUUCUGAGAAGAUGAGAAGCAGGCACUCCAAUCAUGUACAGCCUGGGCAAGGUGAGGGGCUUGUUCUUAGGGACCUGGAAGUGCUUACUCCUGAUCUGCUGGAGGCUGAGAAGGGUGCAAUCCACCAAACAGUAGCACUCUCUGUUGAGCAUUCUCCACUGAAAAUGUUUUGGUUUUCUCUGUAAGCAAGCUUAUUCUUGUAUCUCCAAAGUGAUGGGAAGUAAUGCCAAUUUCUCUUUCUGCGUGUUGUCACCAGCUCCUCAACUCAGCAUGUCUUGCUGGUAACUUAUCCUUCCAUUGCAAUAAAGCAGCCUUGGUCUUUCACACCACGUUAAAGAAAAUAACCAGCAGAGUACUUAAACCAGGCUUGGCUUGACUGCAGAUUUCAAUUGAGUUCAGCAGUAAAAGGAAACCCUAUUAGUACUUCCCCACAGCUAGCUUUGCUCAAUGCCUAGUGUUAAGAUAAAUUAUGUUCUUCAAUGUGUAGGAUGAAAUAAGAGUUGCUAUCACAGCAGGAUGAGUUUUUCAAAUAUUACUUACAUUAGGCAGCAAUCUUUUGUUCCCACAGAAAGAAAAUUUUUUAAAAUAGAUAACCAAGCUUAUCUGGGAGAUCUAUCACUUGGGGCCAUAAUCCAUGAUCUAUGUAGCCUCACUUAGUGCAAAGUAUAUCAUUUUGUCUAACAGCCUUUAACAGGGACUUUGAAAGAACUAUUAUUUUGUUCUGAACGAUAUACAAAUAAAUUCAGUUCUACAAUUUAA